rnacentral:rRNA from 1 species
UGGGGAAUAUUGGACAAUGGGGGGAACCCUGAUCCAGCCAUGCCGCGUGUGUGAAGAAGGCCUUAUGGUUGUAAAGCACUUUAAGCGAGGAGGAGGCUCUUUUGGUUAAUACCCAAGAUGAGUGGACGUUACUCGCAGAAUAAGCACCGGCUAACUCUGUGCCAGCAGCCGCGGUAAUACAGAGGGUGCGAGCGUUAAUCGGAUUUAUUGGGCGUAAAGCGUGCGUAGGCGGCUUUUUAAGUCGGAUGUGAAAUCCCCGAGCUUAACUUGGGAAUUGCAUUCGAUACUGGGAAGCUAGAGUAUGGGAGAGGAUGGUAGAAUUCCAGGUGUAGCGGUGAAAUGCGUAGAGAUCUGGAGGAAUACCGAUGGCGAAGGCAGCCAUCUGGCCUAAUACUGACGCUGAGGUACGAAAGCAUGGGGAGCAAACAGG